rnacentral:lncRNA from 10 species
GAUAUCUUAAAUCGUCUGGACAUUGAAGCUCAAAUUGGUGGAAACCCUGGUCUACAGGCCAUAUGGGAAGAUGAAAAGCAACGGCGAAGAAACAGAAAUGAAACUUCUCAAAUGAGCCAACCUGAGUCACAAGAUCACAGGUUUGUGCCAGCAACAGAAAGUGAAAAAAAAUUUCAGAAGAGACUUCAGGAAAUUCUCAAACAGAAUGAUUUCUCUGUAACAUUAUCAGGAUCUGUGGACUACAGCGAUGGAUCCCAGGAGUUCUCUGCUGAGUUAACAUUGCACUCUGAGGUUCUGUCUCCUGAAAUGCUUCAGUGUACACCAGCCAAUAUGGUAGAAGUUCACAAAGACAAAGAGUCAAGCAAAGGUAAGAUUUUCUUUUCAUG